CCAAUCUAUAAUUUUCUAUUAACAUUCUACUCAUUACACGCUCAUUUUUCCCUCAGCUCCACCUAUAGGCUCAAUAAAAUUCUUGGAUUGAUGUCUAUUUUCUAUUCAAUACUUGCACAGAUGGAGAUUAAUCAGAAAGUUCAAUUCUUUUUGCUCAAUCUUUUCCUGAUAACAUUGGCAUCAUUAUCAAGAAGAGAGUGUUUCGUGGGUGCUGAAAAUUCUACUUCAUGGGUGGGAUCGAAGUAUCAAAUUGAAUGCACAAUGUGUUCAGCCUGUGACAAUCCAUGCGAUACUCCUUCAUCAUCACCGCCCCUGCCACUACCACCUUCUCCACCACUACCACCACCGUCACCGCCGCCUUCAUCCACCACCACCAACUGCCCUCCACCGCCUUCUCCUUCUGGGUACAAGAACCCGCCACCAGCAACCUACACUUACUCUUCACCGCCACCUCCUUCUAGUGGCGGUACAGGAUACUAUUACCCUCCGCCGUCCCAAAGCUUUCCUUCAGGCCCUGCACCACCACCUCCAAAUCCAAUUGGGCCUUAUUUUCCAGACUACUGCCAUAAUCCUCAGGACCGACCCUGGGCACAGGCGAAUGAGUCCUGUGCCUCAGGCCCAAAACCACAAAGGACCGUCCCAAUUGUUAUUAUUACUUUUUUUAUUUUUACUAUUAUUAUUAUUAGUAUAAUAUUAAAAGAAGGAAAAAGAAAAAACAUUUUCUUUAAUUGUAAGAUGAUUGAGGGACAGGCCUGAUAAUCCUCCACCACCACUUUCAUCAUCUCCACCAUUGAAAAAUUCUAUAUCUUUCUUGUUCACAAUGCUUUUUUCACUUUUAUGGUUCUCAUAAAAAUAGGGAAAGAAACAAUUUCAUUAUCAUUUAAAUAAAGUGUCAGAUUCACAGAUCUUCAAGCUUGCUGAGUUAAGUUCUUGACCUUCAUACGAGGUGGCGAAAUUGGGAAAUUUUCUCCUUUCCAAGAUCACCCUUUUUUAUCCAUCAAGAAGAAGAAGAAGAAGCUCAGUGGAGUAAUCUGUAAAUUCUUGAUAAUUUAUUUUCUUUUAUGUCAAUUAUGUUACAAUUUAAUUAGAAUGCAAAAAAACAAUUAGUCAAUAUUGCACAUAAAGUUUCCUUGUUAAAUCUUUAAACAUUCCCUUG
rnacentral:lncRNA from 1 species